ACUCCUACGGGAGGCAGCAGUGGGGAAUAUUGCACAAUGGGCGCAAGCCUGAUGCAGCCAUGCCGCGUGUGUGAAGAAGGCCUUCGGGUUGUAAAGCACUUUCAGUCGUGGAGGAAGUAGUGUAGUUAAUAGCUGCUAUUAUUUGACGUUAGCGACAGAAGAAGCACCGGCUAACUCCGUGCCAGCAGCCGCGGUAAUACGGAGGGUGCGAGCGUUAAUCGGAAUUACUGGGCGUAAAGCGCAUGCAGGUGGUUUGUUAAGUCAGAUGUGAAAGCCCGGGGCUCAACCUCGGAAUUGCAUUUGAAACUGGCAGACUAGAGUACUGUAGAGGGGGG
rnacentral:rRNA from 1 species